UUCAAAAAUCAAAUAAAACAAACCAAUAAAACGUUUAAUUCAUGGGGAUGAACACUGAAACUAGCCUCAUUAUGAAGCCUCUUUUUAAAUGGAUAUCAACUUAUCUAUAGUCUCUUAUGGCUGGAGUACACUACACAAUUUUUGCCCUGAUUUUCCACAGAUUUACAGUCUGGAGAAGUUGAUGCUAGUUGCCAAAGGUCAGAGCCAGUCUGCAGAUUUGAGUUAACAGAUUCUAUAGAAAAUCGAUUAACUUAACUUUAAGUGACAACCAUCAGUUCAUAUGUAAAGUCUGUUCAUGAAGUGUUUACAUAGACGUUCAAUGUGGAAGAGCUUAAAGAGAGCACACUUGGAGCAGCAACAAUUUUUAAUAAAUUUAAUGUAAUAUUUAUUCAAAUGACAGGAUUUUGCUAAAUAAAUAGUCUAGGUCAUACGUAUUUUAAUAUGAACAAUUAUUAUUAACAAUAUCUAUGAAAUUAUACUUAUUGUUAUUGAUGUCACACUGAAGCUGUGUGAUUUUCAUAGUAAUGUACCCUUUAAGCUCACCUUACAAUAAUAUGAAAUCUUAAAAAAUUACAGCACUGUAAAACCACAGACUAGCAAUAAACUGUCAAUUUAUAAUAUUAUGGAUGCAAAAGUACAAGCCAGUAAUGCCUGUGAAGUAAUAUAUUAGCGUAGCACACAAUCUUAUACAGCUAGUCAGCUAACUGUGUUCUGUAGCAUCUGCGCUAUGUUGCUAUCUUUUGGAUCUAACUCUAAUUAAUUCCCACAUCCAAGUUCCAGGUGAUAAUAUGCAAAAGUCUGGACAUUAAUCUCUUAAUUUUACAGUAAGUAGUGAAACUUACCCAAAAUAAAGGCUUAAACAUCUAAAAAAUGCACAUUUAAGGGGCUCCUCUUUUGGUGAAAGUUUUUAGACCGCUUUCAAAAUGGCCACCAGACAGUGGGAACACAUGGAGAUCCAUAUCUCAGUGUGCAAUGGUCCGAAUGACUUGAAAUUAUAGGAGAUUCAGAGACCAACUCCUUCCUCAUCUACAACAAGGACCACAACAAAUGUGUGUAUGCAGUGAAUGCUACUGUGGUACAGGCUGCACCAUGUGAUGUAUCAUCAGAGGCUCAGCAUUUCCGAUGGAUUUCCUCUUCACAAAUCCUCAAUCUAUUUUUUAAUCGCUGCUUGGGGUCAGAGGAGGUCAAAGACUGGACCAAAAUUAUCCUUCUGCCCUGCAAUGAUCUCAGUCCAAUGCAAACCUGGGAAUGUAAGGAGGAAAGCUUGUUUGGUUUGAAGGGGCAUCCUCUGCACCUGAACUAUGGAAAUCAUGAUGAGCCAAAUGUGAUGCUGUUUUCGGGAACAGGUGUUUGGAGUCGCUGGCUGAUUUAUGGGAUGGAAGAAAAUUUGUGUUCUUGUGGAAAUCAAGUCUUUGAUCAUCAUGAGGAAGGAGUAUCUUUAUUCUGCAUCUGCUUUUCCUCCUUCAUUGUUGUUGGUCUCUUCAGCAUGACUGCAGCAGUGAUCAGGACCAACAUCAGAAGCAAAGCCAAAGGUAACACAGGCCCUGCCAUGACAUUCACCAGCAAACAAUAUGAGAAUGCAUAAAGAACCUUGCAGCUUUCUGAAGAAAGAACAUAAGAACAAGAAGAGAACGCAAAACAACCAUGAAAAAAUAAAUAAAAAACAUAAAUAAACAUCUCUUUUCUAGUUGAAAUGCAGGAGAAGGCAAAAGAAACAACCAUGAAUAUAAAUAAUGAUUUAAUUUGAAAUGAAUUUAGGCUACACUUUUAUUACAAUAAUAUAUGUUACAUCAUUUAAAAAUAUACAACGCCCUCCACAAUUAUUGGUACCCCUGGUUAAGAUGUGUUCUUAGGCUUCUAAUAAUUUUUUUUUUUUUUAACAAUGUAGAACCACAAUGUAAAAAAAAAGAGAAAAAUCCAACCUUUAAUUGAAGUUAGGGGUGGCAAAAAUAUCAUAUCACGAUUCACGAUUCUUUGUCAUGUUGGUUUUACGAUUUUGCAAGUUGUCUGAGCAUUACAGCCAAACUAUUAUAAAGACAAAGCAUUUCAAGGUAACAAAAUAUAAAAAAGAAUGCCGGAUUCUUUGGCUAAGGUGGGCGAAGAUAAAAAUCUUUCAUUAUUUUAUCUUUGCUAUUAAAAAAUAAGAACAAAGA